CCUACGGGAGGCAGCAGUGGGGAAUUUUGGACAAUGGGGGAAACCCUGAUCCAGCCAUCCCGCGUGUGCGAUGAAGGCCUUCGGGUUGUAAAGCACUUUUGGCAGGAAAGAAACGUCGUGGGUUAAUACCCCGCGAAACUGACGGUACCUGCAGAAUAAGCACCGGCUAACUACGUGCCAGCAGCCGCGGUAAUACGUAGGGUGCAAGCGUUAAUCGGAAUUACUGGGCGUAAAGCGUGCGCAGGCGGUUCGGAAAGAAAGAUGUGAAAUCCCAGAGCUUAACUUUGGAACUGCAUUUUUAACUACCGAGCUAGAGUGUGUCAGAGGGAGGUGGAAUUCCGCGUGUAGCAGUGAAAUGCGUAGAUAUGCGGAGGAACACCGAUGGCGAAGGCAGCCUCCUGGGAUAACACUGACGCUCAUGCACGAAAGCGUGGGGAGCAAACAGGAUUAGAUACCCUGGUAGUCCACGCCCUAAACGAUGUCAACUAGCUGUUGGGGCCUUCGGGCCUUGGUAGCGCAGCUAACGCGUGAAGUUGACCGCCUGGGGAGUACGGUCGCAAGAUUAAAACUCAAAGGAAUUGACGG
rnacentral:rRNA from 1 species